ACCUGGGGAUGCGGCGGGGGCAGGGCCCGCAGGGACACCACUGUGGUCCCCAGACCUGGGAAGAGGGUACGGUGUAUCCCGGAGCCCAGACGCCCGUGGCUGGGGCCCAGAUCCCAAACUCACAGGGGCUUUCUGACCGCUGCGCAGAAAGCCACCCAGAUGAGACUUGUGUCUUUAUUCUUGGCCACGCAGAGAAGCCUGUCUGCCCAGAAAAUUAAUUAAUUUUUUGGUACCGGGGAUCGAACUGGGGACCUUGUGCUUGCGAGGAAGACACCACUGAGCUACAUCCCUGGCCCCACGUUUUAAGUUUGUAAAAGUUGCCGGCCAUGGUGACACACGCCUAUCAUCGCAGCACUUGGGAGGCUGAGGCAGGAGAAUCGCCGUGAGUUCGAGGCCAGCCUGUGCUACAUAGUGAGUCAAGGCCAGCGUGAGCUAAUAGCGAAACACUGUCUCAAAGAAAAAAGGAAAAAAACAAACAAACAAAAAGUCACUGUCCAGUAUUUAGGAGCGCUUGGCCGUCAUUUCUGCCUUGUACCAUUUGCUUCCUCAUACAGUCGUCCAUGGCAUGCCUGUGAAACUCCAGCUUCCUACCCCAGAGGCUUUCUGCUGUACAUCCUCCGUUAUAAUUUAGCAAGGGAGCCUAAUUGAUUUCAACCUGGUGCUUGCUGUUUGGUGCAUUAUUAAAGACAUCUUGGUUACAAUAAUCUAAAUAAUUUAAAUGUCUUUAAAAUGGUGCCAUUAUCAAGAGAAGUGGGCAGCUGCUCAGAUUCCUGCCACCUGUGGACCUGUGCCGUUCUUUCCUGGGGAACCUUAGUUUCUUCUUAACUGUCAGUUCGGAGCCAUCCUGGUUGCCCUUCAGAAGUGGGCCUCCGGGGACGCCCCCAACACCUGUCUGCAGAUUGGAGAAGUUGAUUUCUUUCUCUUUCUGAUUUUUGGUCAGAUGUGCACCACCUGGGCCGCUGUGUUUGUGCCCCAACUUGCCCGACCUCUUAGAAGCUUCUGGUGGGAGACGCCUAGAUGUUCGGUGACCGGUUGUUCGGCAGCAAGAGUCUGUCUGUGACAGGCUGUCAGUCUGUCUGUAAAUCCGGAGCUGUUUCUUUAGCUGUGUGAGGCUUCCCUACAGUAGCUCCCAAGUGUCUUGGGCUGGUCGGCUUGUCCAGAGAUUUUUGUAGGCUUUCUUUGUUCCUUCCUUGCAGAGCUGUGAUGGGGCUAUGGCACUGGCUGGUCUUUGAGAAUGUCACAUAGCGCGGUUUGGUGGAGGACUAACUUGGAGCCAGCCCUUUCCCUCAGGUUUGUAGGCACAAACUGGACUUCAUACUCUUUUGGGGAGAGGCGUUCUUUGCCAAGCUUUCUCCUCUUAGGAAGCUCCACAAAUGGAACACAGCGUAUGUUUCACAACGCCCAGGUAUUCUGUGAUUGAGAAUGACCUGGUUUCUAGCACCGCUUGCACAGACAAGAAAAUGGAGACUCGGGACUGCUCCGUGUCUGUCCUCUCUCGGGCCCACUACGUUCUGUGUUAUGGCUCCUGGGACAGAGGUGAAUUUCUGACUACUGGAUCAAAUAAAGAGCCGUCUGGACUGUGUAUCACUAAGCAAGAGAUUCAGCCCAGGAGGGGAGUGGCUUGGGAUUAAAGCCACAGAAGCCAGAGGGAAGUGACACGGAUGACAGCGUCCUGCUUCUGGAUGGUAACAUGCAAUGCAUGAAGAAUUCUGGGGCCCAAAUGGGCAGAUUCGGAGCAGUGCUCUGGUGGCACACACCUUCUAAGGACUAAGGACUCCCUUAGGACUCCCUUUCUAAAUGCAUUUAGGCUCAGAUGUUUCCUGUACUUCCAACGCCCAUCGCUCGGCUACCUUCCCAAGGAAUCUCAAAAACACCACCACCCAGGGUCGCGGAUGUAGCUCAGUGGCUUGCGAGUGCAAGGACCCGAGUUUGGACCCAUGUUAGAUCCCAGUUACCAAACAAACCACCACCACCCAACAUCCCAUUCUCUAGUCCAGGGAUUCUCCAACUCGUUUUGUUUGUUUGUUUUGUUUUAUACACUUGCUUACUGAGGCCACCAAAGAGCUUUGUUUUUUGUGUGUUCAAUAGGUACUGUAUUUGAAAUUAAAGCAAAACUGUAAAGAACAGCCACUAAGUGCAUUUAGAAAUAAUAAAUCGAUCACAGGUUAACAUAAACCGUAUUACAUAAAACAUAAAACAAAGAAUGGAUGAAUUUUCCAAAAAAUUAGUGGUGAGAAUUUUUAUAGUUUUGCAAAUUUCCUUUAAUACCCAACUUUGAAGACCACUGGAUUCUCCUGCUUCUGCACCCAGUCUUGUGAGAUUACAUUUUGUACUCUCUGCUAGGGGAGAGACUGGUUUAUUGGGGACGAUCUCUUUGAGAGAUUGAUAGCUCUUUCUGAAAAUACUUCUGAUCCUGUCAAUCUCCUGAAUGAAGUCCCUGGUACCCAUUUUGAGAACUGUGAUACGGGUCAUUUCAGUGGCCACAGUGUCUCCCAAGGCCCGGAUGACAUCCCUUACUUCCGGCUCUGUUCCCACUGUGUCUUGCCCUGCUGUUGACGUUUACUAACAUGAUAGACUGAAGCGAUCCUCUUGCUUCAGGCUCCUGAAUAGCUGGGGCCACAGCUACAUGCCACGAUACCUGGCCUAACCUUUUUUAAAUUUAACCCCUCUUUUAGUUAGAAAAGAAACACAGCUGUAUUACGGCUAUCUAGUAGUAAACAAUAUAUACACAUGCAGUUUUCUAGUUAUCAUUACAUCAUGAUUUACAAAUGAACAGUAAUUCUGAACCCUAUCCCCACUCCUGGCAAGGGGUAGGCGUUUCUUUUUCUAACAUCAAACAGCAGCAUCAUGUUCCACUGUGUAGAUAUAACACAAUUACUUACUAAAUAACCAACAUUAGCACAUUUGAAUGCUUCCAAUUUCUUAUAAUAACAGUACUCCGGUGAAGAAUACCUUCAUACAUCUAGCUUUUUUGGAGACUUAGGGCUAUUUCCUUAGAUUCCCAGAAGUAAGAUUACUGGGUCAAAAGGUGCAGACAUUUUUAUGGCUUUUAAUACAUACUGUAAAAUUGCUUUUCAAAAGGGCUAAUUUACAAUGCCACCAACACUUUCAAGAAUGUUUCAGCACACGAAUCAUCAACACAGGUGCCAUUAAGAAUGCUAAUCGAUAAAAUAUUGUACCCUAGUUGCUAAAAUUUUGCAUUUUUUUGAGGCUCAUAAAGUUAGUUUGUUGAAGAAUGAGCGUACAAUACAAAACAUUCUUUUGGGACAUCUUUAUUUCUGGAAAACCUAGGAAGUUCUCCCUGGCGAAGACCAGAAAAAAGAACACAUGUUAGGAUUGGCACAAAAUCCACUUUGACAGUCAAUCUUAAUGCCAAAACACUCAACGACGAUUUUUUUCACUGUUUCUCUGCUUUCGCUAAUAGUAGCAAAAGGAAAACAACAAAAACAAAACAAAGCAACAAAAAACCCCCCAACUCCACAAAAAACCCACAUUGUAGAGGAAUGAAACAUUCUCACUUCAAACCAUACAAGAUC